GACGAACGCUGGCGGCGUGCCUAAUACAUGCAAGUCGAACGAACCGCGACUGAGUGCUUGCACUUGGUCAAGGUGAGUGGCGAACGGGUGAGUAACACGUGGGUAACCUACCUCAUAGUGGGGGAUAACAGUCGGAAACGACUGCUAAUACCGCAUAGGACAUAGGAUCACAUGAUCCAGUGAGGAAAGGUGGCGCAAGCUAUCGCUAAGAGAUGGACCCGCGGUGCAUUAGCUAGUUGGUAGGGUAAAGGCCUACCAAGGCGAUGAUGCAUAGCCGACCUGAGAGGGUGAUCGGCCACAUUGGGACUGAGACACGGCCAAAACUCCUACGGGAGGCAGCAGUAGGGAAUCGUCCGCAAUGGACGCAAGUCUGACGGAGCAACGCCGCGUGAGUGAAGAAGGUCUUCGGAUCGUAAAGCUCUGUUGUGAGAGAAGAACAGCGCAUAGAGUAACUGCUAUGCGUGUGACGGUAUCUAACCAGAAAGCCACGGCUAACUACGUG
rnacentral:rRNA from 1 species